rnacentral:lncRNA from 1 species
GGACAGGGAGAAAGGGGGUAGGAGAAAGGAGAAAGGUGGUGGGAGAAAGGAGAAAGGGGGUAGGAGAAAGGAGAGGAAGGCUGGGAGAAAGGAGAAAAAAUAAAAUAUCUCUCCUUUUAAAAUUUUUUCUAAUAUUUCCAGAAAAAAUAUCUCAAAAGGAGAUGUUUUAUUCUAAUGGGAGAAAGGAGAACGGGGGUAGGAGAAAGGAGAAGAGGGUGGGAGAAGGGAGAAGGGUCCCCCC